GCAUGACUACUAGCUGCUCCGUGUCAAUGCAAACAGAAAGUAAGGAGUCUUCUCAUCCUUACUCUGAGCCAGAUAUAGUCACCUGCUUCUUACUGGAAGGAAAGCAGAAACUCGGGCAAAUCUCAGCAGCCCAAGGAUUUAUCGUGAUGCAAGCUGUGGCACAUCACAUGGAAAUUUGGAUGCUGCUUGUGACCCCAUCUGUGUGACAUUGGAAGAGAAGAGGGAAGGG